GAUGAAGAACGCAGCGAAAUGCGAUAAGUAAUGUGAAUUGCAGAAUUCAGUGAAUCAUCGAAUCUUUGAAUGCACCUUGCGCCCUUUGGCUAUUCCGAAGGGCAUGCCUGUUUGAGUAUCAUGAACACCUCAACUCUCAUGGCUUGCCAUGAUGAGCUUGGACUUUUGGGGGUCUUGCUGGCCUGUGGUCAGCUCCUCUCAAAUGAAUUAGCCUGCCAGUGUUUGGUGGCAUCACAGGUGUGAUAACUAUCUACGCUUGUGGUUUUCCACCAGGUAACCUUCAGUGAUGAAGGUUCGCUGGGGCUCAUAAACGUCUCUCCUCAGUGAGGACAGCUCUUUGAACGUUUGAUCUCAAAUCAGGUAGGACUACCCGCUGAACUUAAGCAUAUCAAUAAGCGGAGGA
rnacentral:misc_RNA from 1 species